AGUCGAGCGGACCGACGGGAGCUUGCUCCCUUAGGUCAGCGGCGGACGGGUGAGUAACACGUGGGUAACCUGCCUGUAAGACUGGGAUAACUCCGGGAAACCGGGGCUAAUACCGGAUGCUUGAUUGAACCGCAUGGUUCAAUCAUAAAAGGUGGCUUUUAGCUACCACUUACAGAUGGACCCGCGGCGCAAUAGCUAGUUGGUGAGGUAACGGCUCACCAAGGCGACGAUGCGUAGCCGACCUGAGAGGGUGAUCGGCCACACUGGGACUGAGACACGGCCCAGACUCCUACGGGAGGCAGCAGUAGGGAAUCUUCCGCAAUGGACGAAAGUCUGACGGAGCAACGCCGCGUGAGUGAUGAAGGUUUUCGGAUCGUAAAACUCUGUUGUUAGGGAAGAACAAGUACCGUUCGAAUAGGGCGGUACCUUGACGGUACCUAACCAGAAAGCCACGGCUAACUACGUGCCAGCAGCCGCGGUAAUACGUAGGUGGCAAGCGUUGUCCGGAAUUAUUGGGCGUAAAGCGCGCGCAGGCGGUUUCUUAAGUCUGAUGUGAAAGCCCCCGGCUCAACCGGGGAGGGUCAUUGGAAACUGGGGAACUUGAGUGCAGAAGAAGAGAGUGGAAUUCCACGUGUAGCGGUGAAAUGCGUAGAGAUGUGGAGGAACACCAGUGGCGAAGGCGACUCUCUGGUCUGUAACUGACGCUGAAGCGCGAAAGCGUGGGGAGCGAACAGGAUUAGAUACCCUGGUAGUCCACGCCGUAAACGAUGAGUGCUAAGUGUUAGAGGGUUUCCGCCCUUUAGUGCUGCAGCAAACGCAUUAAGCACUCCGCCUGGGGAGUACGGUCGCAAGACUGAAACUCAAAGGAAUUGACGGGGGCCCGCACAAGCGGUGGAGCAUGUGGUUUAAUUCGAAGCAACGCGAAGAACCUUACCAGGUCUUGACAUCCUCUGACAACCCUAGAGAUAGGGCUUCCCCUUCGGGGGCAGAGUGACAGGUGGUGCAUGGUUGUCGUCAGCUCGUGUCGUGAGAUGUUGGGUUAAGUCCCGCAACGAGCGCAACCCUUGAUCUUAGUUGCCAGCAUUCAGUUGGGCACUCUAAGGUGACUGCCGGUGAC
rnacentral:rRNA from 1 species